rnacentral:rRNA from 1 species
UACAGAGGUCCCAAGCGUUGUUCGGAUUCACUGGGCGUAAAGGGUGCGUAGGUGGUGAGGUAAGUCGGAUGCGAAAGCUCGGAGCUCAACUCCGAAAUGGCAUUGGAAACUACCUUGCUCGAGGGUUGGAGGGGGGACUGGAAUGCUUGGUGUAGCAGUGAAAUGCGUAGAUAUCAAGCGGAACACCAGUGGCGAAGGCGAGUCCCUGGACAACUCCUGACACUGAGGCACGAAAGCUAGGGGAGCAAACAGG